rnacentral:rRNA from 1 species
CGUGGGUAACCUGCCCAAGAGAUCGGGAUAACACCUGGAAACAGAUGCUAAUACCGGAUAACAACAGAUGAUGCCUAUCAACUGUUUAAAAGAUGGUUCUGCUAUCACUCUUGGAUGGACCUGCGGUGCAUUAGCUAGUUGGUAGGGUAACGGCCUACCAAGGCGAUGAUGCAUAGCCGAGUUGAGAGACUGAUCGGCCACAUUGGGACUGAGACACGGCCCAAACUCCUACGGGAGGCANCAGUA